rnacentral:rRNA from 1 species
CAGUCGCCACGGGAAUACGAAGGGGGCUAGCGUUGUUCGGAUUAACUGGGCGUAAAGGGCGCGUAGGCGGGCGAAUAAGUCAGGGGUGAAAUCCCAAGGCUCAACCUUGGAACUGCCUUUGAUACUGGGGAUCUUGAGUCCGGAAGAGGUGAGUGGAACUGCGAGUGUAGAGGUGAAGUUCGUAGAUAUUCGCAAGAACACCGGUGGCGAAGGCGGCUCACUGGUCCGGAACUGACGCUGAGGCACGACAGCGUGGGGAGCAAACAGGAUUAGAUACCCCCGUAGUCCCUGUCUCUUAUAC